AACCGCUAUGAAGUAUAAUGAGGAGAAAAGUGAAGUUCAUGUUAUGGCAAAAACUUUGAUCGCAAAAUUUGAGGAAAUGUGGAUGCAGCUUCUGCCUAAAGUUACUGUAUAGGAAAAGAGGCUAGAAGAGGAAGAUGCAGAAGCACAGUUAAAUAUGGAGCUCACUAAAGGUGAUGUUCAUGUUACGGUUUGAUCGCAAAAUUUGAGUAAAUGUGGAUGCAGCUUCUGCCUAAAGUUGUUACUGUAUAGGCAGAAUUUGAGGAAAUGUCGAUGCAACUUCUGCCUAAAGUUGUUACUGUAUAGGCAGAAUUUGAGGAAAUGUGGAUGCAGCUUCUGCCUAAAGUUACUGUAUAGGAAAAGAGGCUAGAAGAGGAAGAUGCAGAAGCACAGUUAAAUAUGGAGCUCACUAAAGGGGCUGCUUAUGCUAAAAUGGCUAGAAACUUCUGCAACAAGUUGGUGUCCAUCACAUUCAAGAGCAAAUGAGGUCGAUCCUCACCAUUGUUGCUGAAAGCUACAGCCAAGGAAAAAAAAAAUGGUUUCUGAGCUUUGAACAUCGUAACUAAAGUAAAAAGGCUUUCUGGUCUUAUUGAUAUUUUAGUUGGAUUUAAGACGAGUUUUACUUUUCCAACAUAUUUGAAUGUUUACCAGGAAAGUUUUGGUUUUAUGUUUACUCUUCUCUUCUGGUUCAGUUGUUUAUUGAACUGAUUUAAGCUGAUUAGUGUCUUUGAUAUAAAGAUGAGCCUUAUGUCAUAACUUAUACCAGUUGUGUCAUUGAUUUCAUUCCAAAGAUUUUCAGUAGCAACUUUUAAGGUUUAAUUCCACUUGCUUCUCACAUUCCAAGUGCAUUCUAAAUUAGAAUCUUAGCUAUAUUGAUUGUUUGCCGUACCUACUGAGCUUGUGAAGCUCACUCCCUAUGUUAUUGUUGUGGUUUUCAGGAAAGGAGUCCAUGAGUGGACAUGUUAAUGAGAUACCAGAGUUGUCUUGAGCAGAAAAUGUUUGGAGCUUUGUUUUGCUUAUGAAGUGUGCGCUGAACUAUGCUUUCCUUGUUUAAAUGAUUGCUCCCUGGUGCUGGAUGCUUGUCAUUCCAGAAUUUUUGCUCUUUUUGCUUUUGCAUUGUACAUAUGUUGUAAGUAACUGAAGUGUUAACUUGGAGCAUUCUUUUGGUGCUUUUUGUAGUGGAAAACUUUGGAAAGCAAGUGGCUCUUUUAAGUUUAUAAAGUGAAGUACUUUUCUUCUCUCCGAAUUUUGUAAGGCCCCGUUUGGAAACAGAAUUUUGAUUUGGAUUUGAAUUUCAAAUCUUAUGUAUUUAAAAUCUGCAGAAUUGAAAUAUGUGUAUUCUAAAUUUUGCUGUUUGGAUUAAAAAAGAUAUAUAGAGAUUUAAAAUUGAAGAUUUAGAUUUUGUAAUAUUAGAACAGCAUCCAUCUCAACCAAAUCAACCAUCAAAGGCUUCAGAGCAAUCUCAAACUUGACUCGGAGGGGAUGAAGUUGGCGGUGGAGAGCUCAGCCACCAUUGCCGGC